rnacentral:rRNA from 1 species
UGGGGAAUAUUGGACAAUGGGCGAAAGCCUGAUCCAGCCAUGCCGCGUGAGUGAUGAAGGCCCUAGGGUUGUAAAGCUCUUUUGUGCGGGACGAUAAUGACGGUACCGCAAGAAUAAGCCCCGGCUAACUUCGUGCCAGCAGCCGCGGUAAUACGAAGGGGGCUAGCGUUGCUCGGAAUCACUGGGCGUGAAGGGUGCGUAGGCGGGUUUCUAAGUCAGAGGUGAAAGCCUGGAGCUCAACUCCAGAA